rnacentral:rRNA from 1 species
UACGUAGGAGACUAGCGUUGUCCGGAAUUACUGGGUGUAAAGCGCGUGUAGGCGGCAUACCAAGUCUGUUGUGAAAUCGCCCGGCUCAACUGGGCGGGGUCAAUGGAAACUGGUAAGCUGGAGGACGGUAGAGGCGAGUGGAAUUCCCGGUGUAGUGGUGAAAUGCGUAGAGAUCGGGAGGAACACCUGUGGCGAAGGCGGCUCGCUGGGCCGAUCCUGACGCUGAGGCACGAAAGCGUGGGGAGCAAACAGG